GCGUUUGUGGUGUAAUGGUUAGCAUGUAUGCCUUCCAAACAUUCGAAAAGGGGUUCGAUUCCCCCUAAACGCA
rnacentral:tRNA from 1 species